UACGUAGGUGGCAAGCGUUGUCCGGAAUUACUGGGUGUAAAGGGCGUGUAGGCGGGGAGACAAGUCAGAUGUGAAAGCCCAUGGCUUAACUGUGGAACCGCAUCUGAAACUGUUUCUCUUGAGUACUGGAGAGGAAAGUGGAAUUCCAAGUGUAGCGGUGAAAUGCGUAGAGAUUUGGAGGAACACCAGUGGCGAAGGCGGCUUUCUGGACAGUAACUGACGCUGAGGCGCGAAAGCGUGGGGAGCAAAC
rnacentral:rRNA from 1 species